rnacentral:lncRNA from 1 species
GCUGUUCCGGUGACGUUUAAUGCGAUUUUGAUGCUGUUGGUAAAACUAGCACAAUUUCCUUUUUCAGAGGAAGAACAUCAUAGAAUGGAUUACAUUUCCUUUGUUUCCGAGGAAGAACACUCAUCUCCUUGGGGCUGCUAGUGUAAGACGUGGUACAAAAGUCCCUGGCUUCAACUACAAACACGUCCACCUAAGGUCCCUGCUGCAGCCACGUGCACUCCGGGGCCCCUUGGGUGAGGCCUUCCAGGCGCCCUCCCGUUCCCUUUGUCCCCAUGGAGCUCCUGUUGCUGAACGGAGCGGUGUGGGCACCAGCUGAGACACGGGCUGCCAUACCGGGACUGCACCCAGCUGGCAGAGAUCAUCGCAGGAACCGCGCUCGGACAGCGCAGGCAUAAUGGGCCUUGGGAAGUGCUCUCCUGGCAGAGAUCAUCGCAGGAACCGCGCUCGGACAGCGCAGGCAUAAUGGGCCUUGGGAAGUGCUCUCGUUGCAGCCCCGGUGCCUCUCUCAAAGCAGACCUCCGGCUUCCUCACGGUUACAGAUGACGCAUGACACGACGCCAGCACUCUGCUCGGGAACGGCAACACUGCUCUUCAUUCUCCCUUCGGAGGCGAAAAGUCGGGCUGCUUCUCAGCGCCCUCGCCGAGAGCUCUGCCGCCGCUGUUCACAGCACCACCACCCGGCGCUGGGGAGGCUCGAGAGCGGCGUGCGGAGGGCGACGGGACGAGCGCGGGGGCAGUGCUGCGAAGGGGGUUCGGGAGGGCCGUCGAGAGCCGCUGCCCGCGGAGCUUCCAGGGACGGCCGCCGCUCCUGCUCUUGCUCCCACCCGCUUCUGUCGGCAGCGCCGGCGAAAGCCUCCUGCCGGCUUAAGGGCGGCUCCGGUCUUCUCAGAACCUGAACUGCUCGCGGGGAAAGGCGGCUGCGACGGGAAGAGAAAGGGAACGAUCCCUGGGGCUCCGCCGGGGCCCGCUCGACCUCUCCCCUCAACCCCCCUGGUGCCGCGCGUCCCCCACCCUUGGCCUGCCCUGAAAAAAGCAGGGAGGUGGGCCUAAAAAUAAAACAGAGGCAAAGAGCUAAGGGAGAAAGAACUCAUUUACUCAUAUGAUAGUGGAAUGCGAGAUAACACAAUACAAUACAAUAUGUCUGGAAUUGAAGCUAAUAAAUUGAAUAAAUGAGAGAGAGCAUUCAAAAAGUGAAGGCCUUACUGUAAUGCUGUAGGGGGGAUGGCUAGGGAGCACGCACCACAGAGACAAGCAGAAAAAGAGAGAAAGCAGGCAAAAAAAAAGAGGCCACCUCAUGACUCACAGUCAUUGUUAUCUUUCCCACCCACUGGAACAUGGAAAUGGAACAGCAAAGUCUUCUGGGUGCUGUAGUUCAUUUUGUAGUUCUUCUCUUCUGAGACAGGUACCUGGAACUAUCGUAAUUCCAUGGAACUGGAGCAUUAACUGUUUAAAUCCCAGUGCACUACAUAAUGUUAUGAUGUGGAAUACCGAUAACAAAAAUCAUAAAGCCAUGGCAGCCCA